UACAGAGGUGGCAAGCGUUGUUCGGAAUUACUGAGCGUAAAGGGCGCGUAGGCGGCCUUCUAAGUCAGACGUGAAAUCCCCCGGCUUAACCUGGGAACUGCGUCUGAUACUGGAAGGCUUGAGUGCGGGAGAGGAACGCGGAAUUCCAGGUGUAGCGGUGAAAUGCGUAGAUAUCUGGAGGAACACCGGUGGCGAAGGCGGCGUUCUGGACUGCAACUGACACUGAGGAACGAAAGCCAGGGGAGCAAACGGG
rnacentral:rRNA from 1 species